rnacentral:rRNA from 1 species
GGGCCCAGCGGGGGCCUACACAUGCAGUCGAACGCGAAAGCCCCGCAAGGGGCAAGUAGAGUGGCAAACGGGUGAGUAACACGUGGGUGACCUACCUUCGAGUGGGGGAUAACGUCCCGAAAGGGACGCUAAUACCGCAUAAUAUGCUGCCUUUUAAGAGGCGGACAUCAAAGCCGGGGACCGCAAGGCCUGGCGCUUGACGAGGGGCCCGCGCCUGAUUAGCUAGUUGGUGGGGUAAUGGCUCACCAAGGCAACGAUCAGUAUCCGGCCUGAGAGGGCGGACGGACACACUGGGACUGAGACACGGCCCAGACUCCUACGGGAGGCAGCAGUGGGGAAUUGUUCGCAAUGGGCGCAAGCCUGACGACGCAACGCCGCGUGGAGGAUGAAGACCUUCGGGUCGUAAACUCCUUUCGAUCGAGACGAAUGGCCUCCGGGUAAAUAUCCCGGAGGAGUGACGGUACCGAGAGAAGAAGCCCCGGCUAACUCCGUGCCAGCAGCCGCGGUAAUACGGGGGGGCAAGCGUUGUUCGGAAUUACUGGGCGUAAAGGGCUCGUAGGCGGCCAACUAAGUCGGACGUGAAAUCCCUCAGCUUAACUGGGGAACUGCGUCCGAUACUGGAUGGCUUGAGUUCGGGAGAGGGAUGCGGAAUUCCAGGUGUAGCGGUGAAAUGCGUAGAUAUCUGGAGGAACACCGGUGGCGAAGGCGGCAUCCUGGACCGAUACUGACGCUGAGGAGCGAAAGCCAGGGGAGCAAACGGGAUUAGAUACCCCGGUAGUCCUGGCCCUAAACGAUGAAUGCUUGGUGUGGCGGGUAUCGAUCCCUGCCGUGCCGAAGCUAACGCAUUAAGCAUUCCG